AAGUCGUAACAAGGUUUCCGUAGGUGAACCUGCGGAAGGAUCAUUAACGAAUAACUAUGGCGUUGGUUGUAGCUGGCUCCUCGGAGCAAUGUGCACGCCCGCCAUUUUUAUCUUUCCACCUGUGCACCGACUGUAGGUCUGGAUACCUCUCGCCUCCGGGCGGAUGCGAGGGUUGCUCGUAAGGGCUUCCCUUGAACUUCCAUGCUCUACGUCUUUUUACACACCCCAAUAGUAUGAUGCAGAAUGUAGUCAAUGGGCUUCUCAGCCUAUAAAACACUAUACAACUUUCAGCAACGGAUCUCUUGGCUCUC
rnacentral:misc_RNA from 1 species